AAGACUGAGGUAAGAGAAUGAGGUCAGAGACUGAGGUAAGAGACUGAGGUCAGAGAAUGAGGACAGAGACUGAAUCCAGAGAAUGAGGACAGAGACUGAGGUCAGAGACUGAGGUCGGAGACUGAGGUAAGAUAAUGAGGUAAGAGACUGAGGUCAGAGAAUGAGGACAGAGACUGAGUCCAGAGAAUGAGGACAGAGACUGAGGUCAGAGACUGAGUCCAGAGAUGGAGGUAAGAGACUGAGGUUGGAGAAUGAGGUCAGAGAAUGAGGUCGGAGAAUGAGGUCAGAGACUGAGGUCAGAGAAUGAGGACAGAGACUGAGUCCAGAGACUGAGGUCCGAGACUGAGGGCAGAGAAUGAGGUCAGAGACUGAGGGCAGAUAAUGAGGUCAGAGACUGAGUCCAAAGAUGGAGGUAAGAGACUGAGGUCAGAGACUGAGGUCAGAGAAUGAGGUCAGAGACUGAGGGCAGAGACUGAGGUCUGAGAAUGAGGACAGAGACUGAGGUUGGAGAAUGAGGUCAGAGAAUGAGGACAGAGACUGAGUCCAGAGACUGAGGUCAGACACUGAAGUCAGAGCAGUAUAAUUCUUUACUUGGUAUGAAAAAGCUUGUCUUUCUUUUCAAAAUGUGAAAACAGUCCUCUGCUCUAUCCUCUUGUCCUAUUAUAUUUCAUGGACUCAAGACCUAAAAGUCCUGUGAGUCCUGCAGGCCUCAGCAGUCUCUGUGUGCAUGUCUCACCUCUCUGACACAUGACGCUGAUGAACCUCCUCACGCUGACUCAGCUCACAACAGAGUGUUUGUGUAAGUGGGCAGAAGUCUAACAGCAUCAUGUUGAUGCUUUUUUAAACUCUGUCAAACAUACUUGAAGCAGUGUGACAAGAGCACAAAGACCGAGACAAAAACGAGCUUCUCCCACUUACUCUUCUUUUG